AUCUGGUAGGCACCAUCUAAUCAGUUGCCAGUGAAUAUUAAACAGGAAGAAAAACGGGAAAAGGAGAGAGACUGGCUAGGCCUCCCAGCCUACAUAGUGCUGGGAUUACAGGCAUGAGCCACCGCACCCAGCCAUGCCUCAGAAACAUUUAUAUCCUUAUUUUUCCCUUCAUCCCCUUUCCCUACUCCUUCCUGGCCUCUGGUAACCACAAGUCUGCUCCCUAUCUUCAUGAGUUCCACUGUUUUUAGCUCCCAUGUUUUGUUUUGAGACAGGGUCUUGCUCCAUCACCCAAGCUGGAAUGCAGUGGCCCAAUCUCAGCUCACGGCAACCUCCGC
rnacentral:lncRNA from 1 species